UACGUAGGGGGCAAGCGUUGUCCGGAAUCAUUGGGCGUAAAGCGCGUGUAGGCGGUUCGGUAAGUCUGCUGUGAAAGUCCAGGGCUCAACCCUGGGAUGCCGAUCGAUACUGCCGGACUAGAGUCCGGAAGAGGCGAGUGGAAUUCCCGGUGUAGCGGUGAAAUGCGCAGAUAUCGGGAGGAACACCAAUGGCGAAGGCAGCUCGCUGGGACGGUACUGACGCUGAGACGCGAAAGCGUGGGGAGCAAACAGG
rnacentral:rRNA from 1 species